rfam:Chaetomium globosum CBS 148.51 scaffold_3 genomic scaffold, whole genome shotgun sequence.
AUUCGGCAUGAUAACUAGGCAACGAUUCUUUCCGCCCCACGGUCGAAGCCCUUUAAGUUGCCGAUAAAUCAAACACCAAUGCGAGGGUCUUACACGUUCUCGGAGACUUCCAAUGAUGUACAAUGUUUAAUCUCGCGCAACAAAC